CAAAACUGAUAGAAGCGGUUCCGGUGGAAAACCUAAAACCUUCAGAUGACACGCAAUUUAUACAUUAUCUCCGCCUCUGCAGCAAAUCCUCAUAAAUAUAGCACUCAGCACGUCAGCCCUGACCUCAAGUUGAAGAAAGAGAGAGCACUGUGGUUCAGCUGUCUGUGAAGCCACAGGAAGUACUUUGGUACCAUCUCUUCAUCUUCGGCCAGCACCAGGUCAUAAUCGCUCAGUGCC